CUGGCAUCUUACAGCUGCUCCAUCUGGAGAAGGUUCCAGGUGAUUCCAGCUCUUCAUAUAGCUGCUGCCUCACAGAAUUAGGAUGAGUAGUGGGAAGAACUGAGUGUGGGAAUGAAGCAGAUGGGACAGAGUCCAAGAACCCAAAAGCAAGGAGGAAGAGACAGUACCGGGGCAUGAAUAGCCUUGGAGGGUUCCUGACGCCAGCCUGCAGUUCCUGGAGCUCCAGCACCUCAUCCACAACAUUUGCGAAUGGACAAGGCAGGAGUGAGGAAGAAAGGUUUCAUCUUCAGAGAAGAGGUAUCAGUAGUGUAGGGGUGAAGGUGAUGGAAGAAACGGUUGUGGAACAAAAGGAAUAGAAAGCUCCCGGCAAGGAUGGAGGCAGCACUGUUUGUUGGACAACUGAAUUGGCCCAGGUGGCCCCUGCACUCUCAGGUACCUGAGACUCCACCCGCCUUGCCUUACUGUCCACAUUUACUCAUGGUGACAACCCCCGCCCCCAAAUUUCAUUUGAA
rnacentral:lncRNA from 1 species